rnacentral:rRNA from 1 species
GACGAACGCUGGCGGCGUGCUUAACACAUGCAAGUCGAACGGAAAGGCCCCUUUGGGGGUACUCGAGUGGCGAACGGGUGAGUAACACGUGAGUAACCUGCCCUUGACUUCGGGAUAACUUCAGGAAACUGGGGCUAAUACCGGAUAGGAAUCCUUGCUGCAUGGUGGGGGUUGGAAAGCUUCGGCGGUUUUGGAUGGACUCGCGGCUUAUGAGCUUGUUGGUGGGGUAGUGGCUUACCAAGGCUUUGACGGGUAGCCGGCCUGAGAGGGCGACCGGCCACAUUGGGACUGAGAUACGGCCCAGACUCCUACGGGAGGCAGCAGUGGGGAAUAUUGCACAAUGGGCGGAAGCCUGAUGCAGCAACGCCGCGUGCGGGAUGACGGCCUUCGGGUUGUAAACCGCUUUCAGCAGGGGCGAAGCUUGUGGUGACGGUACCUGCAGAAGAAGCACCGGCUAACUACGUGC